GAUGAAGAACGUAGCGAAAUGCGAUAAGUAAUGUGAAUUGCAGAAUUCAGUGAAUCAUCGAAUCUUUGAACGCACAUUGCGCCCGCCAGUAUUCUGGCGGGCAUGCCUGUUCGAGCGUCAUUUCCACCAUCAGGCCCCCGGGCCUGUGUUGGGGACCUGCGGCUGCCCGCAGUCCCCGAAAUUCAGUGGCGGUCGCGCCGUAGCAACCGAGCGUAGUAACUAAAACGUCUCGCUCUGGCUCGCUGGGCGCGCUCCGGCCGUAAAACACCCCCCCUUUUCGCAAAGGUUGACCUCGGAUCAGGUAGGAAUACCCGCUGAACUUAAGCAUAUCAAUAAGCGGAGGA
rnacentral:misc_RNA from 1 species